GCUCCAGUCUCUGACAUCAGGAUCCAUCAGGAUGGAAACAGGAUCACCUGCAGCUCAGAGGGGAUCUACCCUCAACCUGAACUCACCUGGUCCACUGAGCCUCCAUCCAACACGGCUCUGAAUGAAACUACCAGGAUCCAGAAAACUGAAGAUCAGCUUUACAACAUCAGCAGCUCUCUGACGGGUCCAGAUGGUCCAGAUCUGACCUACAGCUGCAGCAUCAGAACCAGGAGCAACCAGAGGAGAGCAACACUUCAUAAACUCAGAAAUUCCCAGAUUGCUGAGCAGAGCUGGCAGAUUAUGGAGAAAAUCCUGAUCGCUGUGACGGGAUUAUCACCUGUAAUCUGCACAGUGAUAGCAGAAAUUCUGAGUCGCAGUUGGAAGAAUAAAGCAAACUAAUGGAGAAUCAGAGGAUCUUCAGGACAAACCAGUUCAGGUUCCAGAGUCCCAGUCCAGACCAGCAGGAUGGUGGAGUUUAUGAACUUUAACUAUUUUAUGUCAAAUAAACAAAAAAAGAAAAGAAAAACUGGAGAAUCUGAAGAU